rnacentral:misc_RNA from 1 species
AANAACCUGAAGAGUAUAAAAGGUUUUCUGUGUUGGCUACCUAAUAGACGGUAUCGUUGGGAAUGAUCAAAGUGUGAUUUCGUCUUCCGUCGCGUUUGCGGCGUGAGGUGAACCUUGACGCGGUCUCUUUGAUCCAUCUCGUCAAAGCAUAUGCUUUGACGUUGUGGCACAUUGGGCAUUGCUUGGUCUCUUGUGUACGGAACACGUAGCGGGCAUGGAUCUAACGAUUCUUGUUUGCCCUCAUAUUAGCGUAACGCUUCUCAAACACGACUUGCAUCGCGUUUAGCUCGUAC